rnacentral:lncRNA from 1 species
CUUGAUUAAAGCGAAGACCGGAACAUCACGACGACGGCGAGAUGGCGAGCGAAACUCGGAUUUUUGGCGAUGUCGGUGGACACUCGGGCCGGGCACAAAAGCCUCGCAAGCCCACAGAAAUUUAUGGGCUUAGACUUGGGCUUGGGCCUGCUAAAAAAGGACCGAAUCAAGAGGGCUUCUCUAAAUUAGGCUUCUGAAAUUGAAGAUGGGUUGAAUUGCUGCAGGCUUCUCGCUCAUGGGCUAGACUGCUGAAAAGAAUGCGAGCUGGGCUUGAAGUGGGCCUAACACGUGAAGAUGGGCUUCAAGUCUGGGCCAUAAAUGUUGGAAUUUGCUGUUGGGUUUGCUGGGCUUCAAAGACUGUCUUGAAGGCGUGCGAUGAUGGUUGACUGGGAUCUUGGUGGAUGAUGGCGAAGACAAUGACGAAGCCAGCAAACGUUGGCAUGGAGUGGCAAGCGUUGGCGGCGAGGGAGCAG